AUACAAAUUUCAGUAAUCACAUUUUCUUUAAAUUUGAGGGUCAAUCUUUUUACUCAGCUAUGUUUUGCACAAAAUACUCGAAACUUGAUCUAGCAUAAGAGAUCCGAUUCAUUUGCACUUACUCUUUUUUAAAGUUGUUACUUAAAAAUGUCCCCGACUCAAUUAAUCUAUCACAAUCGAACGUAUUAUUGGUCCAGGCUAAUUUAGGUGCUCCGUGGACACCUGCAUCUUUUCCCGCAACGAGACUACUCCAACUUCCUUUAUCUCCGGUCCCGGAAUAGGUAUAUUUUUUAGAUCUUUGUUCACUUCGGCCACGAAUACCCGCACACACUUGAUCAACUACCGAACGUUGUUUUUGCAAAUACAAAAACUUAUUUCUCUCCGAUGGCAAUCUGGCCAAUAUAACCGAACCACUUCGAUUAGCACUCCUUCCACGUGCACUACUACGAUUACUUUCACUAUUAUUGUGUGUACUCUCAACGAAGGAUCUUUGCUUCCGUAACUGAUGUGGAUUCGACCAAGUCUGUUGGCUUCGAUUGCCAGCAUACAUUGCCGAAGAGGACAUUCUUCAACCGAAUCUAAUAAAGGACUCAAAAUACUCCAAGUAAUCGAAGAACCAAUAUCGUUUGGCAAAAAAAAAAAUUACUAAUUGCAACCUCGUGUCCCUUCGCAAAAAUUCAAAAUAUUCAAAAACGUUCGAUUAGACUUUAUGUCAUCUGAAACGAGCCUCAUCCACGCAUAGAUUUUAGACGAUGGCGGUAACAGCGACGGCAGAGGUUUGUAGAAUCGUAACGAGUACAGAACAAAUAAUGGAAUAACAAUUUUUCGUGGGUGGUGUCCCAGAUUUAUAACCCCUUCCCACACAACAACAACAAAAAUCACAAAAACACAAAGUAAAAAUAAUUGCAAUUGAUAAUAAUAAUAAUAAUACUAUCGAAGUAUGAGCUAUACACAAAUCCCGGCGAUAGGACGUGACUUAUGAAAGAAUGGAUUUAAAGAAAAAAGCACGUCCUUCGAUUGAAAAGAAUUUUCACACAAUAAACUCAACACCGUAUGCGAAUGUUAAAACACUCUCGGCAUGGAGAGUACACAAAACAACCGACGAUUGUGUUUGGUUUGAAAGAAACAAAGUAACUCGCGAAAUCGAAAGCAUUCUAGUUUUGUGUGUUUGGUUAUAGCAUGAGACGCGGCGCUCUCCAAACGCAAGGAGUAGGCAACGAAAAGUAUCUUAACAACAAUGUUUGGAACGUUCAAUGCCCUCCCUCGCGAUUUGCACGGUUUUAACUAUUUACCUGGCGACGACGACACGAGACAACAGUGUGCUCUAUGAAUAACUAAGCUAGAAACAUACAUAGGUAUAUCCUUUUUAUGCCUCCCCAAUUCACAAUAAUGUAGGGUAGCAUAGAUAAAAACAUCAGGAAAUACUAUUAUAAAAGUUUUUAGUUAACUUCUGGUUUAAUUGGAAUUUAAAAAUCAUUUGGAAAUAAAAAUCAUGUUUGUUCAUAAAAAUCAUGAAUAA